rnacentral:lncRNA from 1 species
CCUGGCUUCACGCCAUCACACCUGUAUGAUCCAUUCUCAGUGCUGGGACACAGCUCUUCCAGACAAGCAAGGCCCCUGUUUUCAAGGUGUCAAGACGCAGACAACAAACUCACAAACAAACCAGUGAAACGAACGGUGAUAUCUGUUGUGAAGGCAAUUGAAAGACCCCAAUGCCAAGUAACCGACAUGGUGUAAAUAGUGGCAGAGUGUCCUGGGCAGAGAGAACAGCAAGGGCAAAGGUCCUGGGGCAGGAAUGGAUGCAGAGUGCUAAGGGGACAGAAAGAAGGCUGCUGUGCUGGAGCGUCCCCAGGGAGGAGCGGUGGGCUGAGGGAGGGGGUGAGUUCAGAGAGGCAGCCCGGCAGAUCUUGCAGGGCCUGUGGAGCUUAUUCUAAGUGUGAUGGGCAGCUCCUCCCAGCUGGGAGAAUUAAAUGGAGUAAUGAAGCACAGCGCUUGCACCAGGGUUGGUGCCAGGUGACUGCUGUCUGUGCCCUCACCCCAUGACAGACGCACCAUGGCUGAGACAUUAGGGUCACAUGGUGACUUGGAGCCUCAGGUCCUAGGAACUGCCCGGACGCAACUUCAGAUCGUUGGCUGGGAUCCAUUCAAAGACGUCAGGAGGUGUUUAUUCAGAUCACUGGCUUCUCUCUGCACCGCCCCCGACCCUCACCCCCCACCCCCGUCAUCCCCCAACACGGGGCCACGGAGCACCACCAGGUGGUCAUCUGGAAACUGAGUCUCUCUGAGCGGCCUCUGUAGUCACCAAUGGUCACAAAUGGCCAGCUGUCACUCAUUUCCCAUCAGAGUUCUGGAUAGGAGUGAUGCUGUCUGAGCCCCUGGAAUCGUAACCUCAUCUGACUCAGGCCAUCCUCAGGGAUGGGACAUGUAGAAGGUGACAGGGCAUAAGGACAAGGAGAAAACUUUGUCCUGCCCCAGGCUAUGUGGGAACCACUGUGAAAUCGCCCACAGGACAUAGCACCUGGCCACAAAGCCAGAGUCAGCCCUGCUCAUCUAGGGAAAUGGUGGGCUCCCUUUGAGACCAACAUCCCUUUCCUGACUCUGGGGGUUGCCCCGUAGCUGAUUCCGCAGUAGAAGACAGUGUGCUCACAGGUGGCUCAACAGAUUCACAUUCACCUUGUUCAAGGCUCCUGCCCCUGGAGUGAGACGGUGCCUGGCUACCAGUGGAUAGGCGUGAGCUGCAGUGAGUGCGGGGGACUAGACUGCUCGCUGGAGGAAGGAAAGGUUCUGGAAAGGACAGCACAGACCCUGAGCCCCUGUGGUCCAGGAAGCUUUUCCUAGAAACUCCCAGGCCAGAGGUGCUCAACUCUGCCCCCUAAAGCAUCUCAAACAUGUGCCGGAGUUUCCCAGAAUGAGAUCAAUUUGUCCACCAGACCAUGAGCUCCCUGCGCGUGCUUUAUCUCACCACCGGCAGCCAGGGUCCCGCAGAGAGCUGCCACUCAGUAGGUCUUUGUUGAUAUUUCCUGAAGACACAAGACUGCCCCCAAACAGACACGGUGGCAAGGUAGUUACU